rnacentral:rRNA from 1 species
CAGUAGCCGCGGUAAUACGAAGGGUGCGAGCGUUAAUCGGAAUUACUGGGCGCAAAGCGUGCGCAGGGGGUUAUAUAAGACAGAUGUGAAAUCCCCGGGCUCAACCUGGGAAUGGCAGUGGAUACUGGCAAGCUAGAGUGUGUCAGAGGAUGGUGGAAUUCCCGGUGUAGCGGUGAAAUGCGUAGAGAUCGGGAGGAACAUCAGUGGCGAAGGCGGCCAUCUGGGACAACACUGACGCUGAGGCACGAAAGCGUGGGGAGCAAACAGGAUUAGAUACCCCAGUAGUCCCUGUCUCUUAUAC